AUUGUUUUGUUUUUCUCAUAGCAAUUAUGAGCAGAAAAUUAGAAAGAGGAAGAAGAAUUUUGUAUGCAAAGAAACAAAGAAAGAGGAAAAGGGAAGAAGAAGAGGAGAUGUGGCAGAAGAUGAAGAAAAGAGGGGAAGGUGAGAGAAAGGCUAAGAUUGGGGCAUACACAGGUGAGAGAAGGCACGGGGUAAUUGGAGACGAGAAAGAACUCACCGGUGAGAAUUCCCGGUGGUCGGAGGAAACGGGAAAAGCAUGAUGAUUUUUAUGUUUGAAUUUUAUUUUUAUUUUUUAUUUUAAUUAUUUUUAAUUUACCAUGUGACAUGGCAUCUACAAAUUGUUAUUUUCUGACGUGGCAGCCAACGUGGAGGAGAUUGUAGUCUCCUGUCAUAAGCGUUUAUUAUAUACGGUUUGAAGGAGUAUAAGGGUUCAAUUGGCAAAUUGUUAAGUUUGGGGACCGGCAUGAUAAAGUGGCACAAGUAUAGGUGCCAUUUAGGCCAUUCUGCCUAAUAAUUAUGCUAAUAAUGAAUAAGCGCUUGUAAGGCAUGCAUUAGGCCGUCAAGUCUUGUGUUGUUUUAGAAUAAUCGUGUUUUUCAAUUUCAGAAAUAAAAAGAAGAGAGGAAUAAGUUUCAAUAGAAAUAUCACUCUCUAUGUAAUAAGCUAAUUAUAGGACUAUGUAAACUUUUGGUUGUGUUAUUCUAAGCCAAACCAAUGAAAAUAAAAAUAAAAAAAUUUGUCGUUU